AUUGAACGCUGGCGGCAGGCCUAACACAUGCAAGUCGAGCGAGCGGCGGACGGGUGAGUAAGGCCUAGGAAUCUGACUGGUAGUGGGGGAUAACGUCCGGAACCGGUAGCUAAUACCGCAUACCAUUACAUGUGCCCAGAUGGGAUUAGCUUGGUGGGGGGGUAACGGCUAACCAAGGCGAAGAUCCCUAGCUGGUCUGAGAGGAUGACCAGCCACACUGGAACUGAGACACGGUCCAGACUCCGACGGGAGGCAGCAGUGGGGAAUAGUGCACAAUGGGCGAAAGCCUGAUGCAGCCAUGCCGCGUGUAUGAAGAAGGCCUUCGGGUUGUAAAGUACUUUCAGCGGGGAGGCGUUACCCGCAGAAGAAGCACCGGCUAACUCCGUGCCAGCAGCCGCGGUAAUUC
rnacentral:rRNA from 1 species